ensembl:lncRNA
AAGACUGAGAAAAGAAGUAAUAAAACUCCUUCAGUGAUUCUGUAGGACCUAUUGCAUGGAGGUAUAAGUUCUGAUUAGCUGAGGAUGAUUUUUGUUUGUUUUCUUGUUGAGGAUUCAAUAAUAUUUCAAGUUGGAUUCAGCUGAAGGACCCUUCAGAUUCUGUCAUGUAACUGACUACUAAGAGACUUUAACUCUUUCUCUCCCACUCUACCCCACAUCAUCUGCAGUUGAGCAUUCUUUAGGUCACCCAACUAAGUGGUUCUGGAAGCUAUAAUGAAGGUCUUCCUGAGCUGAUCCUGGGAGCAAAGGCACACCAGAUAAUGCAUAUUUGAGUAUUAGGUAUUUCAAAUUCUCUGGAUGUCAUGGUUUUGUAACUUCGCUAUUGGUAUUCCACAUCAUAACAUCAUGGACAAAAGAGAAGAACUACGUAUCCCAGAGGACCUCACGGUCAGAGAAGGAAGACACAUCACGGAAGAUACGUCAUCUGGUUGCGCGCGGUGCUUCUUCACUUUCGCUUGCUGCCGGGAGAGGAGUGGGUGUGCUUUCCAAGCCGGGCGCCUUCAUCAAGUAAGGCUUUCGGUUUCGGAAACUCUCUCACUCUCUCUCUCUCUCCCUCUCUAUCGCUCUUUCGCUCUCUCUCCCUCAUUCCAUUUGGUUUAUUAUACUUACUCCCGAUUAGAUUGUAUUGUAUCGUGUCAUCUUGCAUCUCAACAUCAUAGUUAGUAAAAUAAGUUCUCCUUC